UACGUAGGGACCGAGCGUUGUCCGGAUUCAUUGGCGUAAAGAGCUCGUAGGCGGCCACUCAAGUCGAAUGUGAAACCUCGAGGCUCAACCUCGAGCCUGCAUUCGAUACUGGGCGGCUAGAGUCUGGUAGGGGAUCUGGAAUUCCUGGUGUAGCGGUGGAAUGCGCAGAUAUCAGGAGGAACACCGGUGGCGAAGGCGGGAUCCUGGGCCAGUACGUGACGCUGAGGAGCGAAAGCGUGGGAGCAACA
rnacentral:rRNA from 1 species